rnacentral:rRNA from 1 species
GUCCACGCCCUAAACGAUGAGGACUGGCUGUCGGCGCUAUAGACGCGUCGGUAGCGAAGCUAACGCGUUAAGUUCUCCGCCUGGGGAGUACGGCCGCAAGGUUGAAACUCAAAGGAAUUGACGGGGGCCCGCACAAGCGGUGGAGCAUGUGGUUUAAUUCGAUGCAACGCGAAGAACCUUACCAUCCCUUGACAUCCUCAGAAUGAUCUGUAAUCGAUCAGUGCCUUCGGGAACUGAGUGACA